UCGUACAGACAUCCCCAAGAAUCUAAACAAAGCCUGUCUUGUCUGUUCAGUUAGGGCAUUCUGUCUUCCAUUUUUGGAGCCAAGAAAGCGCGUGAAAACAGAAAACAUAGAGAGAGAGUGCAAGACUUGAACGGGCAACCAAAAACCCAAAUCAAGAAAACAAUGAGCAAAAAUGGGUUUGGAUGCAAAUUCAAAAGCAGGAACAAUAGGAACAAUAAAUCAGAAACAGAAGUCUCAAAUUUGACAAGCAAGGUCCACUCACUACCUUGCUGCAGCAAAUAUGAUGGCCCUUCUGCCGUUUCUCACUGCUUCAAACCCAAACCCACUGUUUUUGGGUGCUUUUGUAGGGGUAGAAAUGGAGGGGGUGAAAGUUGAGGAAGCUUAUUUUAGAGGCAGGAAUUUACAAGGUGCCAGGUUUCCUAUUCCAAAUGGGUGUUCUGGUAACUAUGUUAUAUUGCAAGGAAUUGAAAUAUGAAACCUGAUUUUUCUUUAAAAAAAUUUAUGAUCCAAUAUGGGAAAAAAAUGUUUUCUUGUUUGUUUAACGUGGGAAUUAGUUUUAGUC